UGGGCUGACUGGGAGCUGUGGCUCCCGUAUUCCUUUGAUGUCCACCUGGGCAAACUUGGCAGACCCAGAGGCAAAUUCUCACUCCAGAGAAGGGAGAGCCAGUGGGAGGGACCCCGGCCCCCGUUCCCUCCCACCCGGGGACCUCAGGACGCCCGUGGAUGGUCUGUACCUGGCAAGCACCCACGGCACCUGGGGGGAGCUCAGGGGGCCCGAGGUGGACCUUGGCAAGGCCUCCAGCUAGACCCCAGCUCCGGCCUCCCUGCCGGCCAGGACCCUGCCUGUUCCCAGAACACCGCCUGCCCCGAAGGCCAUUCACCCUGGAGGGUCAGGCCGAGCUAAGGGCAGGUUCCCAGCCCAGAGGCAGGGGUGAAGGCUGAGAGGUGCCAGCUGAAAGGCCCCACGUGCCCCGCCGGGGAUGCUGGGGGCACAGCCAUCCGGGCGCCCUGAGAUGCCGGGAGAAGAACAAGUGUCCUUAGAAGAGACAAAAACAGACACAGAGAACAGAGAGAGACCUGAGACCGCAGAAGCAGAGACUGGAGGGACACGGCCACAAGCCAAAUAAUGCCUGGGCCCCAAGAAGGUGAAAGAGGACGAAUUCUCCCCGAGAGCCUUCGGAGGGAGCGCGGCUUACUGACACCAAGUUUGCAGCCUCCUGGCCUGCUAGACGAUAAGGUGGAAAUGUAGCAGCCUUCCCAAACCACACCCAGAAGCCGCUCCUCCUCAACACCUGCACUGCCCCCCUCCCCGGGCCCCACCCAGGUGAUCCACCUCUACCCUGCAGUCUCCCCGCCCCCACCAGGGCCUCCCAUGGCUCGCGGGUAACCUGCAAAGCCAGCUGCACCCACGGUGUCUCCCAGGCGUCCCCCUCGAGCCUCGGGCCUCCUGGCCCUUCCCAGAACAUCUGCCCAGCAGGUCCUCCAGGACGGCUGUUGCUCCAGCUGUCCCCCAGGGUUCUUUGUGGUUCACACCUUAGGAAGCCUUCAAGCCCUGGCUCCCUCACAUCCGGACAGUAGUGGUCAGAGACGCCCGAUUACCGCAGGCCUAUAACCCGCGCCGCCGCACGCCUCAUCCGCCAGCCAGCUCUCCUUCCUCCCUCAGAUGUACUGUGAUCCUUUCUUCCUUGCCACAUGCACGUCCCCUUGCUGGAGUGGGCACUCACUAGGCGGCGUUUGGCCGCUGUGUCCUUCCCAGCCCCUCGAACAGUACCCCGCGCCCAGCAAAUAGUUGCACUGGAAAUGCAGGAAGGAAGGAGGUCGCUCUGCACUGGCGCUGUCUGGACGUCACUUACUCUGGAGUGCAGACCAAGCGGCGGCCCAGUCACCUGUGGGUGGUGUGUCCCCUUUGCCUAGUCCUUGUCUCCCUACCUGGAUUAAAUACUGAGAGCUGCAUGCGACUUUCCUCCUCCACCCCGGGUCCCAGCCCUGAGACCCUGCACCCAGUAGAUGGCCCUGCUGGGGACCCCAGGAUGGCAGCUGCGGGGAUGGGGCUUCUCCCCUGGAGCGGGUUGACUGGCAGGGGUGGGGCCUCAGCUACAAAUGCUCUGCCUAAUGCUCUGUAGAACCGCCCCCCCACUUGCAGUCCAGCCCCCUCUUCCUCCACUGCUUCAGGUUUGAGCACACAGCAGUGAGAGACAAGGCCUUUUUGGUAUCCCCAGGCAAGGUGGGGCUGCGGCCAAGACAAGGGUGCUCAGAGCAGCCUGCUCCGGGGGCUGGCCACGGCUUGCCAUGCCAGCCAGAGGGCAGAGGGCCACGGUGGCCUCUGGAGAAGCGCUAGAGCCCAGACUCUCUCCCUGGCCAUCCCCGGCCCAGGAAGGUGGGUGCAGAGGGGCCUGUCCCCUGGGCCACUGCAGGGCUAGCCCCAAAGACAGAGGUCCUCCCCAGGGGUGCCCCUUGGGCACCGUCUCCACCCAGCUGGCUGGUCUCCUGGAGGCCAGGUCACAGGGCAGAGCUGCUGGCCUGAGAGGGUGGGGAUGGAGGCUUUGCUCCCCAGAUGCUGCACCUUCCUUCCUCUUUCUAGAAAACAGGGGACUGCCCUGUGGGCCCUGGGAACCUGCCCAGAGGUCUCCCUGAGCCCACGCCCAGCUGCCUGCCCCUGAGCCGUGGGGGAAGCGGAGGCGAGAGUGCCACCAGACAGUGGGAGAGCAGAGAAUGUCGGGGGUGGGGGGCUCAGGAGGGAGUGUCCACUCAGAGCGCAGCCCCUGCAGCCUCUGCCGUGUGCCCCUCUGCGGCGCCCCACGGAGGGGAUGUGAGAGGCCCGGGUCCCCCAGAGCAUGGUCACAGGGAACUCUGAAGACCUGGCCCACCUGCCUAGGAAACUGCCCACUUCUGGCCUGCCCAGGGGCACCCUGCCCCAACCCAGAGCAGGUGGCGAGCAGCUUUCUGCAGAGCUGGGCAGGUGGCCUGGGCCCCUGGGCAGGCAGGUGUUCACUGCAGACUUGGCUGUGAAAGUGCCUGGGCCAGCAGCCAGGUUGAAGAGGGGGGCACCGGGCAUCCCCCAACUCCUUAGCAAGCUGCACCAACCAGGGCAGGAGUCCCCACUGGUCCCUCUUCUCUCCCCAGUUGUCACCGCGUGGCCCUGCCCCACCUGUCUGGGUGUGAGAUAGCCCCGGCUCUUUACUUUCCAGGGAGGGGUUAGUCAGGGACUAGACCCAAAGGGGGUGCGACAGAGGAGCCGGGGAGCAGGGAAGGGAAGGGGUGGGGAGCAAGUAGGAUACAGCUGGGGGCGGGGCUGGGCCCUGGGCGGCGUUAGCUGGCACCCACCCCAUGGUUACGGGAAUGGAGGAGGGCCUCCUGGGGUCUCGGCAGAGCUGCCUGCUCGUAAGUCCCUUCCCCAGCGGCCCCUCCGCGCCUCCCCACCGCCCGAGCUUGGCCCCACUCCUGGCUCUUGCUGCAGGUCUCCUGUGGCCCUGAGGCCCUGAGGCCCUGGGGAUGGGUGGGGUGGCCACCCUGCUGGCUUCGCCCCUCCUUCUGCAGGGCCCUCCUCUGUGACCUUAGUUUACAGGAAACAGGGUGCUAACGCCCAGGUUUACGGGCCAUGUGGGGAGCAACAAAGACCUCUGUGGAAGACUGGGUGGGGCCGUGCGCCCUGAGCAGGUGGAGGCCCCGCCUGGCUGGCCUCCCUCUGAGCAGGGAUCUGAAGUCUGAGCACCCAACCCUCAGGCAGGCUGUCCCCCACGUCACCUCUGUCCAUGAAUCCCUCACAGCAGACCACUCCACGGAAGGCUCAAAACCAUGCCCAAGGUCCUAUGGGCAAGGCCAAGGAGCAGCGCCAAGGAGCUGGGUGUCCGAUGCAGCGGCCGCCUCACCGGGUGUCGGGAGGUCGAAUCAGGACGGUGCCUGGGAGCUUGGGCUUUCAGCGCAGUUAGCUAGACCAGGACAGGCAUCCUGCAGCCACAGAGGGCUCAGGCUUAAGCUGGGGUCCCAGAAAGCUAGUGGGUCAGCUUGUCUAGGGCACCAGACCAAGCUGGAGAGGCAGGCACAGAGGGUGCAGGCCCAACACUGAGACCUGAGACCCCCGAGGACACUGACAGAAGGACAGAGGCCACACGGGGUCAGCUUGGGCCUCAUCUAACGGAUUCCUGAUGCCGACAGACCCAAGACCCAUGGGCGUUUCUUAGUGUGAGUGUGGUGCAGGUCUCUAGGGCAGCAGACAGGAUGGGGGUGGGGAGGUGCGGGGCCCUAGCGGUCAGCAGGCAUGGGUUCCAGCCUCGGCCGCUGGCCUUUGGCGCUCAUCCAGGGGCCCCAUGUAUGAGUGUCCUGAGGCCACUACAGCAACCACCUCCACCCGCAGGACUUUCAACAGAAAUUUAUCCUUUUACGGUUCUGGAGGCCAGAGUCUGAAAUCAGGGUGCCAGCAGGGGCCAUGCGGUUUCUGAAGGCCCCAGGGGAGGCUCCUUGUGGCCACGUCCAGCUCCUGAGGCCCAGACGCUCCUUGGCUUAUGGCUGUCGCCUCCGUCUCUCCAGUCUCUGCCUCCGUCCUCACGUCCUCAUGCGGCCUUCUCUUCUGGGUCUGUCUCAGAUCUCCCUCUGCCUUCAUCUUACAAGGACACCAGCCACUGGAUUCAGGCCCCCCCCAGAUAAUCCAGGAUGAUCACAUCUCGACAUUUUUAACUUAACUAUAUCUGCAAAGACCCUGUUUCCAAAUAAGGCCUCAUUCUCAGGUUCUGAGGUUUAGGACAUGGACAUAGCUUUUGGCGGGGUCACCAUUCACAGGGGAGCCUCACUGAGACCUUUUAAGGGCUUCCUUCCCCGCACGACCUUACAGCGGGGUCCUCACUCCUGAGUUUGUGCCACAGAAAGGCGUGGCAUUGGGAGGGGUGUGGGGUUGGGCGGUUGGAAUGCCUCCCCAAAUCCCUUCUGUCCUCCUGCCGGGCCAGGGACCACUCCCAGCCGCUCCUUCAGGAGGCGCAGCCCUGUGAUGAAAUCUUCCCUGAGUGUUGCUGUUCCUCCUCCCCGAGGGCCGAGGGGGCAGCGAGCAGAGCAGCCGCGGAAGAUUCACCUUGUGAUGACCCAGUGGCCGGCUGCCUGGGUCCCUGGAGGGAGGGGCACUUCGCUGACCAGAAGCGCCGACCUGGGCCGUCACAGGAGGAAGUGGACCUCUCUACAAACCACAGCUACUGCUUGGAGCACUUGCUAGAGCCGCUAAGCACAGCCUAACCAGUACCAGUUACAAGAAACAGAAGCCCACCUCAAGCCAGCUUAAGUCAAAAAGAGAUCGAAACGCAAAUCAAAACCUGCAGGAGACACCACUUCACGCCAUUAAGAUGGCUGUUAGGAAAAAAAAAAUGUUCAACAGCACGUAUACUGAAAUUGGAACAAUACGGAGAUUAGCGUGGCCCCUGCUCAAGGGUGACACAUGAUUUCGUGAAGUGUUCCAUAUUUAAAGCAAACAAACAAACAAAAUAACAAGUGCUGCUGAGGAUGUGGAGACAUUGGAACCCUCGUGCACUGCUGGCGGGAAUGUAAAUGGGUGCAGCAGCUUGGAAACAGAAGGGCGCUUCUGCCGAAGUUAAACAGAAUGACCCUGUGAUCCAGCAAUCCUACCAUCGGGGAUAUGCCCAGAAUAAUCGAAAGCAGAUAUCCGUACAUGAAUGUUCAAAGCAGUGUGAUUCACAGCAGUCAAAAGGUGGAAACAAACCAAGUGCCCAUCAAUAAAUAAAUGGAUAAACAAAACGCAGCCCAGCCACACACAGAAUAUUACUCAGCCUCAAAAAGGAAAGAAAUCCUGACAGUUGCCGCAGUGUGGAUGACCUUGAGGACAUGAUGCUAAGUGAAAUAAACCAGUCACAAAAGGACAAACAUUGCAUGAGUUCUCUUACAUGAUGCACCUGGAGUAGUCAAAUUCAUAGAGACAGAAAGUAGAAUGGUGGGGACCAGGGGCUGGAGGAAGAGAGAAUGGGGGUUCAGUGCCUAAUGGGGACAGAGCUUCAGUUUGGGACAAUGGAAACGUUCUGGAGAUGGAUGGUGGAGAUGGCUGCACAAGAAUUUGAACUUAAUGCCACGGAACUGCACUUCAAAAUGGAUGAAAUGGCAAAUUUUGUGUUAAGCAUAUUUUACCUCGAUUUUUAAAAAGUUGAAAAAUACCUUGGCAAGAAGAAGAAAAUAUUAGACAAAUGUGGGAAGAUGAUAAUUACAGAAUCUGGCUGAGGUUCUAUGGGGAUUCAUCGUGUCUUUCUGCCUACUUCUGGUUUUUUUUUUUCAGGGUUUUAAAAACUUUUUUCAUAAUGAAAAUUAAAAAUAAAAAGGGAGAAUUGAGUUAUCAAUCUUGCUGCUUCACAGUCUUCUAACAGAAUGAUGCAUCCACACCCUUAACUCUGGGCAUAGUUCUCCUUCUGUUCCAGCUGCUAUAGCAGAAUACCAGAGACUGGGUGGCUUAAGAGCCACAGAGAGUUAUUCUCACACUUUUAGUGGAUGGAAGUCCAAGGUCAAGGUGCCAGAAUGGCAGGCUCUGGUGAGGUCCCUCUUC